AAAGGAAGAAGAUCUAAGAGUGCUUCUUCAAGAAGCUUUCUUGAUGGAGGGGAGUGGCAGACGGGUGAGUAACGCGUGGGAACAUACCCUUUUCUACGGAAUAGCUCUGGGAAACUGGAAUUAAUACCGUAUACGCCCUACGGGGGAAAGAUUUAUCGGGGAAGGAUUGGCCCGCGUUGGAUUAGCUAGUUGGUGGGGUAAAGGCCUACCAAGGCGACGAUCCAUAGCUGGUCUGGGAGGAUGAUCAGCCACAUUGGGACUGAGACACGGCCCAAACUCCUACGGGAGGCAGCAGUGGGGAAUAUUGGACAAUGGGCGCAAGCCUGAUCCAGCCAUGCCGCGUGAGUGAUGAAGGCCUUAGGGUUGUAAAGCUCUUUCACCGAUGAAGAUAAUGACGGUAGUCGGAGAAGAAGCCCCGGCUAACUUCGUGCCAGCCGCCGCCGUAACAC
rnacentral:rRNA from 1 species